rnacentral:rRNA from 1 species
UCUANCGGCUUAACCGUUAAACUGCUUGGGAAACUGAUAAUCUAGAGUAAGGGAGAGGCAGAUGGAAUUCUUGGUGUAGGGGUAAAAUCCGUAGAUAUCAAGAAGAAUACNUAUUGCGAAGGCGAUCUGCUGGAACUUAACUGACGCUAAUGCGUGAAAGCGUGGGGAGCAAACAGGAUUAGAUACCCUGGUAGUCCACGCCCUAAACGAUGUAUACCGGUUGUUGCUGUGCUAGUCACGGCAGUAAUCCACCUAACGGAUUAAGUAUACCGCCUGGGGAGUACGGUCGCAAGAUUAAAACUCAAAGGAAUAGACGGGGACCCGCACAAGCGGUGGAGCAUGUGGUUUAAUUCGAAGAUACGCGAAGAACCUUACCCGGACUUGAUAUCUAACAAAUCAUCCAGAGAUGGAAGAGUGUCUGCUUGCAGAAAUGUUAAGACAGGUGCUGCACGGCUGUCGUCAGCUCGUGUCGUGAGGUGUUGGGUUAAGUCCCGCAACGAGCGCAACCCACGUCAUUAGUUGCUAACGGUUCGGCCGAGCACUCUAAUGAGACUGCCUUCGUAAGGAGGAGGAAGGUGUGGACAACGUCAAGUCAUCAUGGCCCUUAUGUCCGGGGCGACACACGUGCUACAAUGGCAUAUACAAUAAGACGCAAUAUCGUAAGAUGGAGCAAAUCUAAAAAAUAUGUCCCAGUUCGGAUUGGAGUCUGCAACUCGACUCCAUGAAGCCGGAAUCGCUAGUAAUCGUAGAUCAGCCAUGCUACGGUGAAUACGUUCCCGGGUCUUGUACUCACCGCCCGUCACACCAUGGGAGUUGAUUUCACUCGAAGCGGGA